rnacentral:rRNA from 1 species
UACAGAGGGUGCGAGCGUUAAUCGGAAUUACUGGGCGUAAAGCGUGCGCAGGCGGUGAUGUAAGGCAGUUGUGAAAUCCCCGGGCUCAACCUGGGAACUGCAUCUGUGACUGCAUCGCUGGAGUGCGGCAGAGGGGGAUGGAAUUCCGCGUGUAGCAGUGAAAUGCGUAGAUAUGCGGAGGAACACCGACGGCGAAGGCAAUCCCCUGGGCCUGCACUGACGCUCAUGCACGAAAGCGUGGGGAGCAAACAGG